CCCUUAGAUGUUCUGGGCAGCACGCGCGCUACAAUGGUCUUCGCAAACGGAUGCAUUCUCGAAGGAGAAUGCCAAUCUUGGAAUCUUUGCCUUGGUCGGGACAGUUGCUUGCAAUUUUUCGACUCGAACCAGGAAUUCCUUGUAAUCGUGAUUCAUCACAUCACGAUGAAUACGUCCCUGCCCUUUGUACACACCGCCCGUCGCUCCUACCGAUCGAAGAGUUAGGUGAAUUGUUUUGAUCGAUAAGAUUUGACUAUGGUCAACUCUCGUUGUGAAAUUCUGUGAAUCUGACUGUUUAGAGGAAGGAAAAGUCGUAACA
rnacentral:rRNA from 1 species